rnacentral:lncRNA from 1 species
AGGGGAUGGGGUGGGGGGGGGGGCGUAAGGCACGACGGGAAAGCGGCGACAGAGCACACCUGACAGGUGAAGCGAGGGAGCAGCUGUGCCCCGCCCCCGGCGCGAUCCGGAGGACAGGAGGAGGCGUGGCCUAUAAGGACCCAGAGCACAGAGCGGAGUGGAAAUUAGCUCACAAACCCAGUAAUAUAAACCUGCAGACCUGGAGACCCAACAGCGCUCACAGGACCACGUUCUCAGGACCGCACUCUCAGGACCCAGGUCUUUUUGAGACAGUGCCCCUACUGGCUGGAGGACGAACUGCACCCUCAGGACGAUGAUAAGGACUCGUUUUUUUGAGACAGCGCCUCCUUGCUGCUGAGUGCCGUUUGUCUUUAUUUUAUUAUUUUUUUUACUAAGUGUUGCAAAUGUUGACUGAAUAUUUCUAAUGUUUCUUACUGAUGAAUCAUAGAUUUAUUUUCACCCUUUAGGUACCAGAGUUUUUCAGUGGAAAUAUAAUCAGUACAUAUAGAUCUUGAAACAUUUGGCUAGAGAAUCCAAAGUGAUUUCUCUUUAUUGUUUUAUCUAACUGCUGAUAGAGAGUUGAGUCUGGUAUUUUCCACCCACCUAAAACUUAUCAGAAGUUGAGAAUAUUUGGAUCUUAAUAUAAAUUCGUUUUUACAUUUUGUCCUUAUUAUGUUGCACUAAUUUAACACAUUCUCAAUGAGAAACACAUGUAUUUUAUAAUUAAUAAAAAUGGAAUAUAAUAAAUUAAAACGUGCCAGAAAAUCAAAUAAAAACCAAAUCCAAAACAUUUGAAAAAUUAAACAGGAUCUGCUGAGCUGGGAAGAAUAACUUUUAUUAGAAGUUACAUUAAACAGAAUAAGGUACAUUUAUUAGGCGUUACAUUAGGCUUAAAAAAACAAAACAAUACUUAUAGCCACCUAACAGUUAUUUUCUGUACAAGAAAUCACAGCGGUAUAUUGGAAAGGAAACAUAUAUUAGAACAAUUUUUCAAAUUAAACAUGAGAUUACAAAAUACUUUCAAUUUGGAGAGUAUCUAUUUUGCCUUUUUUUUUUUUUAAGUUUCAGAGUUUUAAAUCAUGAAUUUGAACCUUUUAUACUAUUGUCGGUUGGAAAUAUUUUGCAGAACAAAGCAUUCACACACUGUUUCAUCUGGAGAUUUCCUCUUUUGAAUUGUUGUAUCUAUCUGGAAAAGAAGAUAUACAAGUAAAAUGUAAAGUAAAGAGUAAAUACGUUCUAAAUAAUACAGCAGAAAUACUUAUUA